rnacentral:rRNA from 1 species
CAGCUCAAAUUUGAAAUCUGACUCUUUCAGGGUCCGAGUUGUAAUUUGUAGAAGAUGCUUCGGGUGUGGCUCCGGUCUAAGUUCCUUGGAACAGGACGUCAUAGAGGGUGAGAAUCCCGUAUGUGACUGGUUGCCUUCGCCUAUGUGAAGCUCUUUCGACGAGUCGAGUUGUUUGGGAAUGCAGCUCAAAAUGGGUGGUAAAUUUCAUCUAAAGCUAAAUAUUGGCCAGAGACCGAUAGCGCACAAGUAGAGUGAUCGAAAGAUGAAAAGCACUUUGGAAAGAGAGUUAAACAGUACGUGAAAUUGUUGAAAGGGAAGCGCUUGCAACCAGACUUGCAUGCCGUCGAUCAUCCGGUGUUCUCACCGGUGCACUCGAUUGCGUUCAGGCCAGCAUCGGUUUGGGUGGUUGGAUAAAGGCCUUGGGAAUGUAGCUUCUUUCGGGGAGUGUUAUAGCCCUCGGUGCAAUGCAGCCUACCUGGACCGAGGACCGCGCUUCGGCUAGGAUGCUGGCGUAAUGGUUGUAAGCGACCCGUCUUGAAACACGGACCAAGGAGUCUAACAUCUAUGCGAGUGUUUGGGUGUUAAACCCAUGCGCGUAAUGAAAGUGAACGGAGGUAAGAACCCUUAAGGGUGCAUUAUCGACCGAUCCUGAUGUCUUCGGAUGGAUUUGAGUAAGAGCAUAGCUGUUGGGACCCGAAAGAUGGUGAACUAUGCGUGAAUAGGGUGAAGCCAGAGGAAACUCUGGUGGAGGCUCGCAGCGGUUCUGACGUGCAAAUCGAUCGUCAAAUUUGCGCAUAGGGGCGAAAGACUAAUCGAA